GUUGCAUGUGAGUCUCUCAAGUGGAAAUGGAGAAGAAGCACAAAUAAAGACAUCUGUAAUGCACACCGGUGUAUGAAAAGGAUGUUUUGAUCUCAAACAAAAACGUCCAGGAGGACAGAAGCGUGAUCAGUCACCAGCAGAGAAGUGUUUGGUGGACAGCUUUGCGUACGCUGGGUUAUGUGGAGUGUCUUUGGGCCAGCUCUUUCAAGGAUCUGAGCAAAAAAACAUGUUCGAAUGUUCUGACACCUUCCUGUCCAUCUUGCAUGCGGAGCCACUGCUCAGAGCCGGAGCUUUACCCAUCACUCAGGAUCUUGUGUCAUUCUCAGUUAAAGAUGGACAUUAUGAUGCCAGGGCUCGAGUUCUGAUCCGACAUGUCAGCUGUCUGCUGCAUGUGACCCAACAGCAGCUGGAGGAUUCUGAAGAGACUCUCGGAGAGAAAUUGAGAGAGAGAAGAGUCAUCAAGAAGGCAGAAGAAAGAGAGAGGUCGUAA
ensembl:lncRNA